AGGCUUUGGCAAUGGGGGAAACCCUGACCAAGCGACGCCGCGUGGAGGAUGAAGGCCCUUGGGUUGUAAACUCCUUUUGCAGGGGAAGAAAUGCGAUCAGGUGAAUAAUCUGGUCGUUUGACGGUACCCUGCGAAUAAGCUCCGGCUAACUCCGUGCCAGCAGCCGCGGUAAGACGAAGGGGGCUAGCGUUGUUCGGAAUUACUGGGCGUAAAGCGCGUGUAGGCGGUUGCCAUAGUCAGGUGUGAAAGCCUUGAGCUCAACUCAAGAAAUGCACUUGAUACUGGGCGACUAGAGGACCGGAGAGGAUAGUGGAAUUCCCAGUGUAGUGGUGAAAUACGUAGAGAUUGGGAAGAACACCAGUGGCGAAGGCGGCUAUCUGGACGGUUUCUGACGCUAAGACGCGAAAGCGUGGGGAGCAAAC
rnacentral:rRNA from 1 species